UUCCAUAUAUACUAGAUUAAUUUCAUUAAGUAUAUGAGCAUAUUAUUUUUUACUUACAUAUAUGCUUAUAUUACAAUUAUAUAAACCGAUGUACCAAAAAUAUAGAUGUUCGUGUAGAAAAUACAUAAAAUCACUAGUGAACUCAAAAAUCAUGGAGGCAUCUCAAAUAAUCUUAUCAUCUCAUCUCUUUUAACCUUUUUAGCUUUUAGAUUUAUCACUCUUUAAAGUUGUUAUUAUUGAUGAGAAAAAAG
rnacentral:lncRNA from 1 species